rnacentral:rRNA from 1 species
AGCAACCUGCCUUUCAGAGGGGGAUAACAUUUGGAAACAGAUGCUAACACCGCAUAAGAUUACAGUACCGCAUGAUACAGUGAUCAAAGGAGUAAUCCGCUGAAAGAUGGGCUCGCGUCCGAUUAGAUAGUUGGUGAGGUAACGGCUCACCAAGUCGACGAUCGGUAGCCGGACUGAGAGGUUGAACGGCCACAUUGGGACUGAGACACGGCCCAG